rnacentral:rRNA from 1 species
GGGAUAACCCCGGGAAACUGGGAAUAAUACCCGAUAGUCCUCGAAUGCUGGAAUGCGUCGAGGACGAAAGCUCCGGUGCCUAAGGAUGGGUCUGCGGCCUAUCAGGUAGUAGUGGGUGUAGCGUACCUACUAGCCUACGACGGGUACGGGUUGUGAGAGCAAGAGCCCGGAGAUGGAUUCUGAGACACGAAUCCAGGCCCUACGGGGUGCAGCAGGCGCGAAAACUUUACAAUGCUGGCAACAGCGAUAAGGGGACCUCGAGUGCCAGGUUACAAAUCUGGCUGUCGCGAUGCCUAAAAAGCAUUACAUAGCAAGGGCCGGGCAAGACCGGUGCCAGCCGCCGCGGUAACACCGGCGGCUCGAGUGGUAACCGUUAUUAUUGGGUCUAAAGGGUCUGUAGCCGGCCGGAUAAGUCUCUUGGGAAAUCUGGCAGCUCAACUGUCAGGCUUUCAGGAGAUACUGUCUGGCUCGAGGCCGGGAGAGGUGAGAGGUACUUCAGGGGUAGGGGUGAAAUCUUGUAAUCCUUGAAGGACCACCAGUGGCGAAGGCGUCUCACCAGAACGGACCUGACGGCAAGGGACGAAAGCUAGGGGCACGAACCGGAUUAGAUACCCGGGUAGUCCUAGCCGUAAACGAUACUCGCUAGGUGUCGGCCACGGUGCGACCGUGGUCGGUGCCGUAGGGAAGCCGUGAAGCGAGCCGCCUGGGAAGUACGGCCGCAAGGCUGAAACUUAA